GGGCUGUUAGCUCAGUGGUAGAGCAUCGGACUUUUAAUCCGAGGGUCGCAGGUUCGAUCCCUGCACAGCCCACCA
rnacentral:tRNA from 1 species